GCCAGCCGCGGUAAUUCCAGCUCCAAUAGCGUAUAUUAAAGUUGUUGCAGUUAAAAAGCUCGUAGUUGAAUUUCGGGGUUAGUAGGUUGGUCAUGCCUCUGGUAUGUACUGGUCUCACUGAUUCCUCCUUCCUGAUGAACCUUAAUGCCAUUAAUUUGGUGUUUUGGGGAAUUUGGACUGUUACUUUGAAAAAAUUAGAGUGUUUAAAGCAAGCUAACGCUUGAAUACAUUAGCAUGGAAUAAUGAAAUAGGACGUUCGAUCCUAUUUUGUUGGUUUCUAGGAUUGACGUAAUGAUUAAUAGGGAUAGUUGGGGGCAUUAGUAUUCAAUUGUCAGAGGUGAAAUUCUUGGAUUUAUUGAAGACUAACUACUGCGAAAGCAUUUGCCAAGGAUGUUUUCAUUAAUCAAGAACGAAAGUUAGGGGAUCGAAGACGAUCAGAUACCGUCGUAGUCUUAACCAUAAACUAUGCCGACUAGGGAUCGGAUGAUGUUAAUUUUUUAAUGACUCA
rnacentral:rRNA from 1 species